CGGAAAGACAAAGAUCGGGGAGGCAAAACUAAAAAGGAGUUUCACACUUUCAAGUUCAAGCCGAGGAAGGGUUACUCUCAAAAGAAAAUCAGUGAAGCUUCAGUUGGCAUUCCACUUUCUUCCAAGAAAGAAAACAUCGAACAAGCCAUGCAACAGGGUACUGGAGGAUCUGAGACGGAGGUUACUUGGGAAGAUCAACAGAACAUUAACAAAUUUGGAAGAUUAAACAAUCGAUUUCACGAGCUUGAAGAUGAAAUCAAGAUUGCCAAGG